rnacentral:misc_RNA from 1 species
GGGGGUAAACUAAGUGUAUUUGUUAUUCAUUGGGCAGGGGUUCAGGCUUUCAUUCGGGGUGAGGGGGACUAUUGUGUAUGGUCCAUAAGUUUACAUGCAUUGUCCAUUAACAGUUUUACAUUAGGCAAUGGUACUCGUGUGAUCGUCAAGGCCGGUGGGUCUCUUGUUCAGUGUAACAACGCUUAGAAGCGAAAAAUUAAUGCCAAUAUUCAAGAGAAAAAGUAAGGAGAAACUCAUGUAUGGAGAAUUUAUAUAUGAUCAUGAAACAACUCUAUAAUGUGAUCACAAUUCUAGAAUUUAACAUUUUUAUCAACUAAUGCUCGAAUAGACUCUAGACCCAGUAUAUCACAGAUAAAUAGGAUGUCGGGGCAUUGAAUUUGUUAUAAAGCUUUUAUCGAAAAAAGAGAUUAAAUGAAAUAGUUUCUGAUAUAUUUAUUAAAAAUGAAAUUUUUU